UAUGGCCAUAUCCCGUGGAAACAUCGGUUCCCGUAUGAUCACCGAAGUUAAGCAACGUUUUGCUUGGUCAGUACCUAGAUACGUGACCGCAUGGGAAAACAAGGUGUUGUUA